rnacentral:rRNA from 1 species
CUGGUCGCCGGGGGACAUCUGUCCCCGGGCCCGCGCCCGCCGAAGCGCUCUGUGAACCCUGAUGAAGAUGGGCUGUCUGAGUACUAUGAAAAUUGUCAAAACUUUCAACAAUGGAUCUCUUGGUUCCGGCAUCGAUGAAGAACGCAGCGAAAUGCGAUAAGUAAUGUGAAUUGCAGAAUUCCGUGAAUCAUCGAAUCUUUGAACGCACAUUGCGCCCCCUGGCAUUCCGGGGGGCAUGCCUGUCCGAGCGUCAUUUCUGCCCUCAAGCACGGCUUGUGUGUUGGGUGCGGUCCCCCCGGGGACCUGCCCGAAAGGCAGCGGCGACGUCCGUCUGGUCCUCGAGCGUAUGGGGCUUUGUCACUCGCUCGGGAAGGACUGGCGGGGGUUGGUCACCACCAAAAUUUUACCACGGUUGACCUCGGAUCAGGUAGGAGUUACCCGCUGAACUUAAGCAUAUCAAUAAGCGGAGGAAAAGAAACCAACCGGGAUUGCCUCAGUAACGGCGAGUGAAGCGGCAAGAGCUCAAAUUUGAAAUCUGGC